rnacentral:rRNA from 1 species
GAAAGACUGAUAGUGCGACGCCGCGUGAACGAAGAAGCCCUUCGGGGUGUAAAGUUCUUUUAUAUGUGAGCAGUGGGUUCCAUAUGAAUAGUAUGGGAUCAGAGAUAUUAGCAUAUGAAUA